rnacentral:rRNA from 1 species
AUACGGAGGAUCCGAGCGUUAUCCGGAUUUAUUGGGUUUAAAGGGUGCGCAGGCGGCCAUUUAAGUCAGCGGUUAAAUCGUGGGGCUCAACCCCAUUCUGCCGUUGAUACUGGGUGGCUUGAUUGCGGUCGAGGUUGGCGGAAUUAGUUGUGUAGCGGUGAAAUGCAUAGAUAUGAAGAAGAACACCGAUUGCGUAGGCAGCUGACCAGACCGCAAAUGACGCUCAUGCACGAAAGUGCGGGGAUCGAACAGGAUGAGAUACCUUGUUAGUCCGCACAGUAAACGAUGAAUACUUGUUUUCGGCGAUAUAAUGUCGGAGGAACAGCGAAAGCGAUAAGUAUUCCACCUUGGGAGUUCGACGGCAACGGUGAAACUCAAAGGAAUUGACGGGG